rnacentral:lncRNA from 1 species
UUUUAGAUCAAAACUCAAGAUCAAAAUUAUUGCAGUAUAUGUCACAUUGCAGGCAACUGUAAGAUAUAUACUUAUUAAGUACUAACUGAUGCUGAACAUAAAUUCUCUGAGGUAAUAUAUGUCUGUAAUAUGUAUUAAUUAAUAAUAUAGAAGUAGAAAAAGAACAAACUCACAUAUCUUUAACACUGUAUUACAAGCUUCUGUGGAACUGGCUUGCUUGAGAGUGGAACAACUGAACUACUGUUGAGAAACCCAGUAACUGAUUGAUGGUUUCCUCAGAGGAAUAUUAUAUCAGAACAGACAAUAAGGCUCUCCUUUCAUGCUGCUAAAAUACCACAGAAGCAGAAUACUGCUGCAAUUGGUAGCACAGCAGAUGCGAAAGGCAACAGUCAUGAGGCCACAGUCUGGAGCUGAGGGGAAAGCCAUUGUAUGAUUCUUAUAAUGAUAAAAACGAAGUGAAAACAAUUGAUGAAAAAUCACACUGGGUGGAACAAAUGUAUAGGGAUGAAAGAGAACAGCAAAGAAUAUCUUUGAUACAUUUAAGACAGAGA